rnacentral:rRNA from 1 species
AGCGAACGCUGGCGGCAGGCUUAACACAUGCAAGUCGAGCGGGCACUCCGGUGUCAGCGGCAGACGGGUGAGUAAAACGUGGGAACGUACCCUUCGGUUCGGAAUAAUGCUGGGAAACUAGCGCUAAUACCGGAUACGCCCUUUUGGGGAAAGGUUUACUGCCGAAGGAUCGGCCCGCGUCCGAUUAGCCAGUUGGUGGGGUAAUGGCCUACCAAGGCGACGAUCAGUAGCUGGUCUGAGAGGAUGAUCAGCCACACUGGGACUGAGACACGGCCCAGACUCCUACGGGAGGCAGCAGUGGGGAAUAUUGGACAAUGGGCGCAAGCCUGAUCCAGCCAUGCCGCGUGAGUGAUGAAGGCCUUAGGGUUGUAAAGCUCUUUUGUCCGGGACGAUAAUGACGGUACCGGAAGAAUAAGCCCCGGCUAACUUCGUG